GAUUGAACGUCUGUCGAGCUUGCUCACAGGCACAUCAUAUCCAUAACACCUGUGCACUUGUCGGAUGGCUUAGUGAAGACCGCAAGGUUGGAUCUAUCCAUCUACUUUACAUAACAAUUCUGUAACAAAUGUAGUCUUAUUAUAACAUAAUAAAACUUUCAACAACGGAUCUCUUGGCUCUCGCAUCGAUGAAGAACGCAGCGAAAUGCGAUAAGUAAUGUGAAUUGCAGAAUUCAGUGAAUCAUCGAAUCUUUGAACGCACCUUGCGCUCCUUGGUAUUCCGAGGAGCAUGCCUGUUUGAGUGUCAUGAAAACCCUCAACCCUAGAUUGGUUAAAACCUUUCUUUGGUUUGGAUUUGGACGUUUGCCGAUGAUAAGUCGGCUCGUCUUAAAAGUAAUAGCUGGAUCUGUCUCGCGACAUGGUUUGACUUGGCGUAAUAAGUAUUUCGCUAAGGACAUCUUCGGAUGGCCGCGUUGCAGGACUAAAGACCGCUUUCUAAUCCAUUGAUCUUACGAUUAAUAUUCUUGACAUCUGACCUCAAAUCAGGUAGGAG
rnacentral:rRNA from 1 species